UGGGGAAUUUUGGACAAUGGGCGCAAGCCUGAUCCAGCCAUGCCGCGUGAGUGAAGAAGGCCUUCGGGUUGUAAAGCUCUUUCGGCGGGGAAGAAAUAGCGUGGGUUAAUACCCUGCGUUGAUGACGGUACCCGCAUAAGAAGCACCGGCUAACUACGUGCCAGCAGCCGCGGUAAUACGUAGGGUGCGAGCGUUAAUCGGAAUUACUGGGCGUAAAGCGUGCGCAGGCGGUUGUAUAAGUCAGAUGUGA
rnacentral:rRNA from 1 species